rnacentral:rRNA from 1 species
AUGAACGCUAGCGGCAGGCUUAACACAUGCAAGUCGAGGGGUAUGCUUCUUCGGAAGCAGAGACCGGCGCACGGGUGCGUAACGCGUAUGCAAUCUACCUUUUACAGAGGGAUAGCCCAGAGAAAUUUGGAUUAAUACCUCAUAGUAUUAUAGAAUGGCAUCAUUUUAUAAUUAAAGUCACAACGGUAAAAGAUGAGCAUGCGUCCCAUUAGCUAG